rnacentral:miRNA from 2 species
UUGGGCUUGAAGAUUAACUUAGA